rnacentral:rRNA from 1 species
UUGCCAGCCCGCUCAAGAACUCAAAUGAAUUGACGGGGGCCCGCACAAGCGGUGGAGUAUGUGGUUUAAUUCGAUGCAACGCGAAGAACCUUACCUGGUCUUGACAUCCCGGAGACCCUUAGGAAACUAGGGGGUGCUUCCAUCUGGAAGAAUCUGGAGACAGGUGCUGCAUGGCUGUCGUCAGCUCGUGUCGUGAGAUGUUGGGUUAAGUCCCGCAACGAGCGCAACCCUUGCCUUUAGUUGCCAGCAGUUCGGCUGGGCACUCUAAAGGGACUGCCGGUGUUAAACCGGAGGAAGGUGGGGAUGACGUCAAGUCCUCAUGGCCUUUAUGACCAGGGCUACACACGUACUACAAUGGCCGAUACAAAGGGCAGCGACACUGCGAGGUGAAGCCAAUCCCGUAAAAUCGGUCUCAGUCCGGAUUGGAGUCUGCAACUCGACUCCAUGAAGUUGGAAUCGCUAGUAAUCGUGGAUCAGCAUGCCACGGUGAAUACGUUCCCGGGCCUU